AACGGGGCAAGUAGGGUAGUGUAUAUGUUGGCACUAUCGAUAUUGAGAUAUGUUUUAAUGAAACCUAAGUAUAGGAAAAAUUCACGCUUAUGCAACCCGAAAAUCUCCAUCGUUUAAAAAAAAAUCAUUAAAAAAGUCCUAAGGGUCCAGUAAUAAAUGAAACAAUUAUUUUGGCGCCUUAAAAUCGUGUCAUCAGCUUUGACAGAUUUUUUCAAUUUACGGGUUUCAGAAAUAGAAUAAAACUUUCAACAAAUAAUAUUCUUGAAGGAAAUUCUUUCCUCUUUCAAUCUGAUAUUUUAGUUUAUUAUUUCUCCUUAGAGGAGUUACUGAAAAAUCAAUUUGAUUAACGACACCUAUUCUUGAGGCAAAAUGGCCUGACAACGUUGGGGCAGUUUGCGCUUUGCGGGUAUAAAAUCUCUGUCGUCUAAUGUCAAAAUGAUGGUUACAUUUUGAAAGCUGUUAAGAAAGUUGUUGCUGAGAAACAAAAAGUAUGUGAUGUUUCCAAAGCAACCUCCAUCCCAAAAAGAUCUCUACUGAGAUAUGUCAAAAAUUUCUUGGCUGCUGGAAUUCAAGAUGAAGCUGAAGCAACUACAAGCAUUGGGGGUUACCAAAAACAUCGUAAGGUUUUCAGCAGCGAACAAGAAAGCAAUCUUAGCAGUUACGUCAAAAGGGCCAGUGACAUUUAUCAUGGAAUCACUACCACAGACAUGAGAAGAUUGGCUUAUCAGUACGCUACCCAAGAAAAAUGUAUUGUCCCUCUUUCUUGGUCGGUCAAGAAGGAAGCUGGAAGAGACUGGCUCUCUGGUUUCAUGAGAAGACGUCAAGACCUUUCAAUCAGAAAACCACAAGCAACAUCUCUAAGCAGAGCUACCAGCUUCAACAAGCAUUACGUUGAUUCCUUCUUUGACAAUGUUGAGGUUGAACUUCAGGUGAGAGAUGCACACUGGUUACAGUCUGCCUUACAGUAUCUGCCACAGAGAAGUCUAUUCCACCAUAUUUUGCCUUUCCACGAGUUCAUUUUAAUGAAUAUUUCCUCAAUGGUGCCCCUCUUAGUUCUGUUGGAUCCGUCAAUAAUUUGGCUGGAUAUGUCAGAAAGAUCGGUCGACUUUGCUCCAUCUUUCGUCACGGAUCGUCCUUUUAAUUCAUAACCAGUCCCAUCUUCAUAGGAAUCCCAGCAUCCAACGAUAACAUCGUCCAAGAAUGCCAAACUCCCGUUCCAGUCCAAAAAGACCAAACUCCAGUUCCAGAGAACCACAUCACGGCCAAUGUUCUUAGUUAUUUUAAUGAUCUUGAUGUCGUGGCCAUUUUAAUUUGUGAUUCUUAAAUAACUCAUGUAUCGUUAUCAUUUCCACCAAUAAUAUACUUUUGAAUCUUAACUUUCUUUCUUUAUUUAUACGUUUUACUGAUGUACCGUCCCUUGGACUGUUAGUCCAUAAGAAUAACAUGGGCUUUCAUGCCCCCAUACAUGGAGCGAAGUGCCCCUUCAACGGGGCAUCUCGUCUUUUAAUUUU
rnacentral:misc_RNA from 1 species